UAGAACUUGUUGUUGCUGUCCUAAAUUUCUUUACAUGAAACAAAAUAUGACCAUCACCAAGAAGGACUAACAAUCCUUGCUGUUUUCCUAGAUUCUAGACCUAAAGAUAAAAACAAGAAAAUGCUAAGACUUGUCUUCUUGGGAUGCUGAUAACCAUAUGUCCAUUCUAUCGGUCUAGUUCUCCAGCUUCUGACCAUGUCUAAGGAUCGAUCUUCUCCCAUUCAUAGCGUCCAGGGAGGGGCUUCUCAUUCACUGGAUCAAAG
rnacentral:lncRNA from 1 species